rnacentral:rRNA from 1 species
UACGUAGGGGGCAAGCGUUGUCCGGAUUUAUUGGGCGUAAAGAGCGUGUAGGCGGUCAGGUAGGUCCGUUGUGAAAACUCAAGGCUCAACCUUGAGCUUGCAUCGGGUACGGGCAGACUAGAGUGUGGUAGGGGGUGACGUGGAAUUCCUGGUGUAGCGGUGGAAUGCGCAGAUAUCAGGAGGAACACCGAUGGCGAAGGCAGGUCACUGGGCCACUACUGACGCUGAGGAGCGAAAGCAUGGGGAGCGAACAGG